rnacentral:rRNA from 1 species
AAGACCUUGCGCUUUUGGAGCGGCCGAUGCCUGAUUAGCUUGUUGGUAAGGUAAAAGCUUACCAAGGCUUCGAUCAGUAGCUGGUCUGAGAGGACGGCCAGCCACACUGGGACUGAGACACGGCCCAGACUCCUACGGGAGGCAGCAGUGGGGAAUUUUGGACAAUGGGGGCAACCCUGAUCCAGCCAUGCCGCGUGAGUGAAAAAGGCCUUCGGGUUGUAAAGCUCUUUCAGCCGGAACGAAACGGUUACGGUUAAUACCCGUGACUACUGACGGUACCGGAAGAAGAAGCACCGGCUAACUACGUGCCAACAGCCGCGGUAAUACGUAGGGUGCGAGCGUUAAUCGGAAUUACUGGGCGUAAAGCGUGCGCAGGUGGUUUUGUAAGUCAGAUGUGAAAGCCCCGGGCUCAACCUGGGAACU